CCAUUGACACGUGAUGGCUCAGACUUAUCAUGUGACUUUUUGGUAGAAAAGCAAACACACCUGGCUAAAUACUUCACAUUGUAGUUUUGUGUUUGAGAGGUUUUAGAUAAUCAAAGAAUUGAACGGUUUUAUCUUGACAGAGUUUAUCACCGUUAGCUCUUAGGUUUGCGUUCAUGUUUAUUAUGACCUGCGGACGCUCCACAGACAGCGACUCAUUGCGAUCAGAUUUCAGAUCCGCUGCUUGACAGAGCACAGGAAACGAGACAGAGCUUCUGCUGCUGCCACCGACUUAACACAAGAAUACUGGACACACUGGACGAAUACGGUCGCGUCCUGCCCCACUUCCCAUAAAGACAAGGGAGUUUGUGAUUGGCUCUCAUCACAGCCACACUGGUGCAGGAGUCGGGCUUUCUGAUGACCUCACACCACUCGGGAUAGUCCACUGGUAGGGAGCUGCUGUCAGGGGGAGAAAACACACUGAAUAAAUGCAGAAGAAAGUCAUACAGGUUUGGAGUGACACGAGGGUGAGUCUUUAUUUUUGGUUGAAUUCAAAUGAAAUGUUAAGAAAAAUCUAAGUAAAACUUGGUGAACUAUUAAUUUAAACAACUUUCCAGAUCAAAUUAACAGAUAAACCUAAACCAGUGGUUUCAUAAAAUUAUAAGCUUAAUAUUACUUUAUAUAAAAACGUUUAAUAUUGAAAACUUACUGUUUUAUUAAAAAGAACAUUUAAUCAUGCCAUGUGCUCUUGAUUAAACAUAACUUCUAGUGAACCCAAAAUAUUAAUUUAAAACCCAAAUGAAAAUGUCCCGUUAAUAGUAGAAACACUGUCAAAGGUUUGUCAGAAGGUGGAGCAGUACAGUAUAUUAAAUCUGCUGUUGGGUUUCA